rnacentral:rRNA from 1 species
GACGAACGCUGGCGGCGUGCCUAAUACAUGCAAGUCGAGCGCUUCUUUCCUCCCGAGUGCUUGCACUCAAUUGGAAAGAGGAGUGGCGGACGGGUGAGUAACACGUGGGUAACCUACCCAUCAGAGGGGGAUAACACUUGGAAACAGGUGCUAAUACCGCAUAACAGUUUAUGCCGCAUGGCAUAAGAGUGCAAGGCGCUUUCGGGCGUCGCUGAUGGAUGGACCCGCGGUGCAUUAGCUAGUUGGUGAGGUAACGGCUCACCAAGGCCACGAUGCAUAGCCGACCUGAGAGGGUGAUCGGCCACACUGGGACUGAGACACGGCCCAGACUCCUACGGGAGGCAGCAGUAGGGAAUCUUCGGCAAUGGACGAAAGUCUGACCGAGCAACGCCGCGUGAGUGAAGAAGGUUUUCGGAUCGUAAAACUCUGUUGUUAGAGAAGAACAAGGACGUUAGUAACUGAACGUCCCCUGACGGUAUCUAACCAGAAAGCCACGGCUAACUACGUG